rnacentral:lncRNA from 1 species
AGAACCUCCAACAUAGGUGGUUUACAGGUACAAGGUUAUUUGAUGAGUAAGCUUCUUUCAUGAGUACAGAAUUGUUACCCUCUUGUGCACGCUCAAGACCACACAUAUUUAGGUGCAAGAAAUACUGUGGACAGGAGGAGAGGCAGGGCGUGAGAAUGGGAUAGGUACACACAAGAAUAUUUGGAAUUAAGAUGCUUCUCUCCUUUACUGCUUUCCCCAUAUCUUUAUCCCAUUUUGCCUUUACUAUUUUAGUACAAGAAACACGGUAGGCAAUAAGAUGAGAAACUUAGAAGAUAGCAAUAAAAGCCCAUGAUGUUUGAUAUUGUUCAGCAAGUCAGACCAGAGUAGUCUUCCAGACACCAAGCCCACAGUAUCCCAUUUUGUGCAGAGAAUUAAGUGCUUGGUGCUUCAGCUUGAGGUGUCUUCUCUCAUUGACGGCUUUUGGAAUAGAUUAGAAUGUACCCUCUUCCCUCAGUCUUGAGCCUCUUUGUCGACCCUCUCAUCCCCUCCCCCAACCCGCCUCUUUAGGUGGACCUAGGACUUUGGAAAGUGUGUAAGACACUGAGGUAUCCUUCCGCAUGGUCGGGCCAGAGUGGAGUCAGCGACGCCACCGCCUGAUAAUCCACAUGCGCUUCAGUUCAAGAAAAAGCAAAAGUGUUGGCUUGGUUGGGGGAAGAUCCUGAAAGAAGGGAACUAACUAAUGCUGAGACCCUUUAGUGUUGGUCUGCUUCCCUCUGUAUCGCGCCGCUUCUUCUACGUUCAAAUGCCGCUCCAGCUCUUACCAGGAUGAGAAAAGGCUAGAGUUGAGCUCACCGACAGAGGGCGCAGUGGCGCUAUACAAAGCUUAGUAUCACUCCGCUUCUGUAAGGCCGGAUCGCCUUACACAACUCUCCAGAGACUGCGGCUGCGGAUAUGGGUACGGGGACGUGGCAAAGCAAAGUCUGCGGAGGAGAAGGGCACAGCACCCCUUGAGGCAAGGAAAUAAGAGAACUGCCUCUGAUCCAAGCAGAGCAGGUCCAACUUCAGUGGCAGAUCUGGUGGCCUUGGAGUGGCUGAAGACCACCACCCUCCACAGGGCUGCGCUCAGGCACAAAGCCAUUCUUCCUUUCCCUGAGUGAGCUUCCUCUGCACGUUGUUUAUAUCAUUGGCAGAGCUUGUAGGUGGAAAGGGGGCUGAGUGACGAAUGGACUUUGUAUGAAAACACCAACCUGGGACAGACCUUCAGUCAAGGCUGAGACGGGGUUGGGGUAUAUAACUUGGCCUUGCCUUUAACUUGGAUCAUGACUGGCUCUGAGGCUGAGGCAGGGGCAGAGCAGGUGCUGGGACUGCCCUAAAAGCUGGAAUCAGUAGCCCUGCCAACCCUAGAGCCAAGGCUAGGAUCCAGGCCAAGGCAGUGGGUGAGGCAGAACUGGAAACAGGAACAGUGACCCAGGCCAAGGCUGGGGAUGGAGCAGUGGCCAGGACACAGACAGUGACCUGCACUGAGGCCGUGGCUG